UUCCAACGCAGAGGCAAAAGUGUUAGAAAUAUUAUCUGUACUUGAAGAAAAUAAUUCUCUUAGGACUCUAGCAGAGGAGAAACAAAGAAAUUACAAACUAAUAAGAAAGUAGAGACGCCUUUAGAGAUUUCUUGCCUAAGCACCCAAAGGAAAUCAGAGUGGUGGGUGGGUAGAGGGCUCAGUUAACGCAGGCAGGACGGAGGAGAGAGCAGAAGGAAACGCUCUGAGGGCGUUUCCAGACUCUUUGUAAAGAGCAGGACGGGGGCAGAAGACGCUGAGUUACAUCAGAGUUCAUAAUGUCACUCCGAAGGCACCUGCUGAGGAAUCUUGAAGGUGAAGGAUUUUUCUGAAGUCUCAAAGAAGCAAACAUUUUGAUGAGUGGAUGUCCAGUUGUUCCGGCGUCAUUCAUUGAGAAGACUAUGUUUGCUCCAUUGGAUUACCUUUGCUCCUUUGUCAAAGAUCAAUUGACUAUGUUUAUGUGGGCAUAUUUCUGGGUUAAUUUUGUAUUUUUUUCAUAAUAGUUAAUGAGUGCCUGCUUUAAACCAGGCACUGUCGUAAAUGCUGGAAAUAUAGGGGACAAGAAAAGAGAUGUCAUCCUUGCUCUUACGGAUUGUACAGUUAAUGGAUGGGAAAGGAUCAAAGAUAACUCCAGGUUUCUAGUUCACUCCAGAUUUCUGAUUUAGAUUAUGGGACAGGAAACCUAGAAGAAGCAGUAAGUUGAUGUGGAAAGAUGCUCCGUCUUGGGAAGUGUUGAGUUGGGCAUGUCUAUGGGAUAUCAUAAAAGAUGGCCAACAGGUACUUGGGUAUACAGAUGUGGAGCUAGAAGAGAAAAAUCUGACAUUGAGAUACAGAUUUUGGCACCAUCUGCAUGGAUAUGGUGGUAAAAACCGUGACUGUGUGUGAUUGCUAAAGGAAUGUGUACUGGAGUGGGAGAAGAGAAGAUGUUGCACAGCGGAACUCUGGGGAACUCCAGCAUUUGGAGGAAGAAGAAUGAAAAGUACUGCAUGGAAAUUUCAAAGGAGUGCAGAGAGGUAGAGGAGAACCAUGAGAGAGUUAUGUUGUGGAAGCCAAGUGUUAUGGACUGAAUUGUGUCUCCCCCAAACUCAUAUGUUGAGGCCCUAACCCCUAAUGUGACUGUAUUUAGAGAUAGAGACUUUAAGCAGAUAAUUAGGAUAAAUGAGGUCAUAAGUGUAGGACCCUACUCCAGUAGGACUGACAUCCUCAUAAGAAGAGGAAGAAAUACCAGGGGUCAAUCUCUCUCUCUCUACAUGCACAG
ensembl:lncRNA